rnacentral:rRNA from 1 species
GAUGAACGCUGGCGGCAGGCUUAACACAUGCAAGUCGAGCGGAAAGGCCCUUCGGGGUACUCGAGCGGCGAACGGGUGAGUAACACGUGAGUAAUCUGCCCUGUGCUUCGGGAUAGCCACCGGAAACGGUGAUUAAUACCGGAUAUGACAUGCUCCUGCAUGGGGGUGUGUGGAAAGUUUUUUCGGCGCAGGAUGUGCUCGCGGCCUAUCAGCUUGUUGGUGGGGUAAUGGCCUACCAAGGCUUCGACGGGUAGCCGGCCUGAGAGGGUGACCGGCCACACUGGGACUGAGACACGGCCCAGACUCCUACGGGAGGCAGCAGUGGGGAAUAUUGGACAAUGGGCGGAAGCCUGAUCCAGCAACGCCGCGUGAGGGAUGACGGCCUUCGGGUUGUAAACCUCUUUCAGCACCGACGAAGCGAGAGUGACGGUAGGUGCAGAAGAAGGACCGGCCAACUACGUGCCAGCCGCCGCAGUAAGAC